AUGGUCAGGGAAAGGGGCCUGUGUUGUUGAACCUGUCCAGUUGUGGCAACUUCGUAGCAGGUAGCCCAACUCUGACCUAAAGAAAAUUCCCAGAAGUUCUUCCUGGGAUUUAAAUUUGUAGUAACAGGUGUGAGCAUUCUAGCAGCAGUUUGAUGAUCAUGUAUGAUACUGAAAACAGGA
ensembl:snoRNA